rnacentral:rRNA from 1 species
AGUCACUGACAUUAGAUACCCGUGUAGUCCAGGGUGUAAACGCUGUAGACUUGGUGUUGGAAGUCCUUUGGGGGCAUUCAGUGCCGGAGAGAAGUUGUUAAGUCUGCUACUUGGGGAGUACGUCCGCAAGGAUGAAACUUAAAGGAAUUGGCGGGGGAGCACCGCAACGGGAGGAGCGUGCGGUUUAAUUGGAUUCAACACCGUAAACUCACCAGGGAAGACUGUUACAUGAAAGCCGAGAUGAAGACUCUGCUAGAUUUUCAG